rnacentral:lncRNA from 1 species
UUCAUAAUCAAGUUGCGAAUUUAUUGAAUUUUGGUUAAUAUAUCACAAUGUAAUUUCUCAAAAGCAUAAACUCUCAACAUGAUUGGAUUGGGACACAAAGCAAAUAUAGAUUCCAAACAUAUCAAUAGCAGAUAAGUACUUACAAAAUGUGAAAUUGCAAACGAAACAGUUUCUUCAAAAACGACACUCUAAUUCUAAUCAAUUCCGAUCUCCCAAGUUCCAUUAAACCCUAAACCAGUAACAUCCAGAUGAUAAAAGUGAUUGAAAAACCCUAGCUCAAUUACUCAAGAGCUGGUGAAUUUGGUAACGGCCUUAGUCCCCUCGGAAACAGCAUGCUUCGCCAACUCUCCAGGAAGCACCAAUCUCACUG